GGGGGAGGGCGCUUUGUCACGUGGGUCUCGGCGCGGAGCAAAACAAAUCAGGAAGAAGCUGCCAACGACAAUAACCGCCACCGACCGCGAGUUUUUUUUUCAUUUCGCCGGGAUUCAGGGCCUCGCUCCGCACUUGUCGGUCCGCGCUCGCGGGCUGUCUUGUUUUUAAGCGGAUCUCCUGGCUAACAUCAGUGAAGUGCAUCCGCCUCGCUUCUUCCUGAUUGAAAUGGCACCCUGGGCUGUACAGAGACCGCCUUCUGCUAAGAAUUAUGUGAAAAGAAAUAAACUACUUCAUAAAUAAGAAUGUGGUUUACAAUGCAUAUGUUUACACCUACAGUUACUGCCUCCUUUAGCUUUGUUAUAAUUGCAUAUGUUGUUUGUUAGAUAUUACAUUAUUUGUAUAUUUAGUUUGAUAACCAUUAACACUUUAUAUCAAUUAUUCUUGUGAGGGUAUCCAUUAACACUUUACAUCAAUUAUUCUUGUGAGGGAGAUUUUUGUAAUUUAUCUUCAGUAACCUGAAAUAAACUUCCCAGUGUGUUUUCCAAGA